UACGUAGGGGGCAAGCGUUAUCCGGAUUUACUGGGUGUAAAGGGAGCGUAGACGGCUAUGUAAGUCUGGAGUGAAAGCCCGGGGCCCAACCCCGGGACUGCUUUGGAAACUGUGUAGCUGGAGUACAGGAGGGGCAGGCGGAAUUCCUGGUGUAGCGGUGAAAUGCGUAGAUAUCAGGAGGAACACCGGCGGCGAAGGCGGCCUGCUGGACUGAAACUGACGUUGAGGCUCGAAAGCGUGGGGAGCAAACAGG
rnacentral:rRNA from 1 species